rnacentral:tRNA from 1 species
GAGCCGGUAGCAUAGCCUGGAUAAUGCGCAAGCCUCCUAAGCUUGAGAUCCAGGGUUCGAAUCCCUGUCGGCUCG